rnacentral:lncRNA from 12 species
GGUUUUCCUUCUAGUCAUUUUGCUCAGUGCAGAGUGGCCAAAAGCAAAUUGUAUUGGGAAAAAGAGAAAAAGAGAGGAGAGAAAGAAGGAAAGAAAAGAGAAAGAGAAAAAAAAAGGGAAGAAAAGAAAAAAAAACGAGAAAAAAAAAGAAGAAGAAAAAGAGAAAGAAAAAGAAAGGAGAAAAAAAGGGGGGUGGGGGAAGGAAACAAAUCAAAAAGCAAAACAAAACAAAAACAAAAACAAAAAAAAAAAAAAAGAACCACAGGGGAGUAUCUUCUGAUUCUGUGUUCUUUAAGUCCCUUGGCUUCUCCUGGAAGUUGUCAGUCUAGCUGGUGUUCUGGGGGAGGGGCCUGUUGUGCUGAUUUUCAGGUGUUAGCAGUUGGGGGAGCUGCUCUGCCCCUGCCUGGUGCAGGGCUCAGUGGGGGUUGUUUACCCCGUGAGGCCCCAGGAGCUACAGCCCUAGUGGCGGGGCAGCUCUGGACACCUGGAUUCAGCUCUGGCAGGAACUCCGUCUGCAGGGCCUGGAGGCUCCGGGGCGGGGCCGCUGAUCUGCUCAGCUGGGGCAGGAGCGUCCUUGCUGUCCUGGGCCCUCCCGGCCUCUGCCUGUCCCGGGGGAGGCGGGAUCCUGGGCUGUGUCCCGGCGCCCUGUGCUCCGGAGCCUGCGCUGGUGGAUUCGCGCUCCCGGGCCGCGCAGCCCCCUCCGCGGAGCCGCCGCCCGAGCCCCUCCGAGCUGCUCCUGGAACCGCGCAGGCCCCUCCGCACGGAGCCUCUUCCUCUGCCCGAGCCCCUCCGAGCUGCUCCCGGGGCCGCGCAGCCCCCUCCGCGGAGCCGCCCCCGAGCCCCCCCGAGCUGCUCCGGGUCCCGCCGUGCGCGCUGCAGCCCUUAGGGAGCUCGGCGCACUCUUCUGGGCGCGCAGUUGCUCUGUUACUGUCUCAGGGAACCCGAGGGCAUCCCCGCCCUCCUGGGUCCUGCUCCACCUCCCCGCGAGCCCCUUUCCGCCCGGGAAGGUCGGUGCAGCUCCUGCUCCUCCGGGACGGGGCUCUCCUGUCCUGGGGACACUCGCCCCGGCCUCAGCCCGGCUCCUCGCGGGGCCCCUCCCCGUUGGAGGCCUUUGUUUCUUUACUUCUUUUUCCCCGUCUUCCUACCUUGAUAGAAGCGCGAACUCUUCUCACUGUUGCAUUCCAGCUGGUCUCUCUUUAA